rnacentral:rRNA from 1 species
UACGAAGGGUGCAAGCGUUACUCGGAAUUACUGGGCGUAAAGCGUGCGUAGGUGGUGCGUUAAGUCUGUCGUGAAAGCCCCGGGCUCAACCUGGGAAUGGCGAUGGAUACUGGCGCGCUAGAGUGCGGUAGAGGAGAGUGGAAUUCCCGGUGUAGCAGUGAAAUGCGUAGAGAUGUGGAGGAACACCAGUGGCGAAGGCGACUCUUUGGCCUGUAACUGACGCUGAGGCGCGAAAGCGUGGGGAGCAAACAGG